GCCUCAGUACUGUAAUGGAUUACAGAGCACGGCAGACCGGAUAUCUGUAAGUGCGGGUUCCAAUCCUGCCUGAGGUU
rfam:Dictyocaulus viviparus strain HannoverDv2000 D_viviparus-1.0_Cont418.9, whole genome shotgun sequence.